rfam:Dictyocaulus viviparus strain HannoverDv2000 D_viviparus-1.0_Cont599.6, whole genome shotgun sequence.
AAGUGGGCCAUUUUUGGUAAGCAGAACUGGCGCUGUGGGAUGAACCAAACGUUAGGUUAUGGUGCCAAACUUUUCGCUCAUAAGAUCCCAUAAAAGGCGUUGGUUGAUAUAGACAGCAGGACGGUGGUCAUGGAAGUCGGUAUCCGCUAAGGAGUGUGUAACAACUCACUUGCCGAAUCAACUAGCCUUGAAAGUGGAUGACGCUUGAGCGAAAGACCUAUACAUAACCAUUGUUGGCAUGUGAAAUGAUUAAUCGAGUACGCCUGGCCACAAUGAGUACGAGGGUCGUAGCGGUUGCAUUGAAGGCGUUAGGUGUAGACCUAUCUGGAGCUUCCGUUAGUGCAGAUCUCGGUGGUAGUAGCAAAUAUUUAAGUUCGAUCCUUGAAGACUAAAGUGGAGAAGGGUUCCACGUGAACAGUAUCAUAUCAUUAAGAGAGAAAAGUUACUAUCUUUUCAUUCAGAUAUCGAAAGGGAAUAGGGUUAAUAUUCCCUAACGUAGACACAGAGAUUAUGAUUCGUAUGAAUCAUUUGCGCGGUAACGCCUCCGAACUUGGUGAACGUCGCUCAAAAACCGAGCUAGAGUUUUCUUCUCUAAUUAAGGAACGGACUUCCUGGAAUCGGUUCAGCCGUAGAUACGGACGUUAUUUCCGUAAAGUAUCGCGGUUUCUGUGAUAUCUCGUGUUUUUUGGACGAUCCAUGAAAAACUAAGUGAGGCUAUUAAUCUGUGCUACAUCGUACCGACAUCCGCAUCAGGUCUCCAAGGUGAACAGCCUCUAGUCGAUAGAAUAAUGAAGGUAAGGGAAGUCGGCAAAUUUGAUCCGUAACUUCGGAAAAAGGAUUGCCUCCGGUGACCGGGUCGAUUGGCCUGUUAGCUGAUGCUUGUACGGAUUUAUCCAUGACCGAUGUCAAAACGUUAUGUAUACGUGUAUACGUAUACGUAUAUGUGAUGAUAUUGGAUUAGUGAUAAGAGCGUCUUGCGGACGUUUAUAGGUGUGUGCUUUGUUUUCGAAUUAAGUAUACUGAUCGGCCAUUGUAAUGGUCGACUGGAACUGGUACGGACUCGGGGAAUCCGACUGUCUAAUUAAAACAGAGGAUACAGAUGGUUCUUGCGAACGUUUACUGUCUCUGAUUUCUGCCCAGUGCUUUGAAAGUUAAAUCGUAGUAAUUCGAGUAAGCGCGGGUAAACGGCGGGAGUAACUAUGACUCUUUUAAGGCAGCCAAAUGCCUCGUCAGCUAACUACUGACGCGCAUCAAUGGAUUAACGAGAUUCCCACUGUCCCGAACUACUAUCUAGCGAAACCACAGCCAAGGGAACGGGCUUGGUAAAAAUAGCGGAGAAAGAAGACCCUGUUGAGCUUGACUCUAGUUUGACAUUGUGAAGAAUCAUGAGAGAUGUAGUAUAGGUGAGAGAUUGAUGAUUUAUAUUAUUGAUCGGCAAUGAAAUACCACCACUUUCAUCGAUUCUUUACUUAU